UUUGUCCUACGGGGGGCAGCAGUGGGGAAUAUUGGGCAAUGGGCGCAAGCCUGACCCAGCAACGCCGCGUGAAGGAAGAAGGCUUUCGGGUUGUAAACUUCUUUUAUGAGGGACGAAGGAAGUGACGGUACCUCAUGAAUAAGCCACGGCUAACUACGUGCCAGCAGCCGCGGUAAUACGUAGGUGGCGAGCGUUAUCCGGAUUUACUGGGUGUAAAGGGCGUGUAGGCGGGCUUGCAAGUCAGAUGUGAAAACUAUGGGCUCAACCCAUAGCCUGCAUUUGAAACUGUAGGUCUUGAGUGAUGG
rnacentral:rRNA from 1 species